GUUUUAAUUUCAGACGUUUCAGAACAGAUUCCGGUCAAAUAAACAAGCCCGCCCUAGGAUUUUUUUGUCUCUCCUGUUUCCUUGUGGUUUGGGAGAUAGCUGUUUGGAUAAGUAUUUUACUACAGACGAUAGAAGAGACUGGAUAUCUCCAUGGAACGUUCCGAACAGAACUUGGACUGGAAUACGAUGACGAGUACUUCUGGCGUAUCCUGGUCACCUUGCUAGUUAUGGGACUGGUAAUAGCUGUCUUCCAAAUAAUCACCAUCAUCAUAAUACUUAACGUCGUCAACAAACAACGCAAAACAUUUCUCUAUAUUGUUUGUGGUCUACUGGGAUGCAUCCUUAUCUCUGACAUUGUAACGACAGGAUUGGUAUCUGAAUGGCUAAACAAGGCAUAUACGUGUUCAUCGUCAUCAACGUUCUGCAGGACAUAUGUAUCAAGACUGUACGAAUUGUGCGGAGUGUUCAUCGGUCUCAACAUUGCACAUUUGUGUCUUGUGGGGGUACUUUUGGGUCUAUGUAUAUACGCCAUCAAUAAAUCAGCCCGACUCGACCAUAUCACCAGUGGAUGAAACCGUUCUAGCGUCUGGACAAAAAGAUCCUCAGCUUUAGUAUAUAGCUGACAGUUGCCAGACAUGUAAACACAGAGUGUCCUGCUUAUUCAUACAACUGAAAUGGCUGUUGUCAUCAACGUGCUUAUACCAUACUGGUGUAGGCCUAUGAUCUCGUUAUGUACUAGUUGCACUGUGGUAUAUCAUUUACACCAUCCCGUCCUUCUAACACAAAGCUCUAAUGUAGCAACUCUAAAUAACCCAAUAUUCUCGUCAUGAUCACAAUAAAUAUUCUUUGAUAACUGGUGUUGCAUGUACGAAUAUGUAUACUCUAAGAUGAAUAUUGAUUGAGGAACAUAAAUAUGUAUACUCUGAAAUUUAUAUUGUUUGAGGUAUAUAAAUAUGUAUACUCUGAAAUGUAUAUUGAUUGAGGUAUAUGCUAAUACAUCUACUGGACACACAACUGUGAUACGUACCUGUCUGUGAUAAUAUACUGGACACACAACUGUGAUACGUACCUGUCUGUGAUAAUAAACUGGAAACACAACAGUAAUACGUACCUGUCUGUGAUAACAUACUGGACACACAACUGUGAUACGUACCUGUCUGUGAUAAUAUACUGGACACACAACUGGGAUACGUACCUGUCUGUGAUAAUAUACUGGCCACACAACUGUGAUACGUACCUGUCUGUGAUAAUAAACUGGAAACAAAACAGUGAUACGUACCUGUCUGUGAUAAUAUACUGGACACACAACUGUGAUACGUACCUGUCUGUGAUAAUAAACUGGACACACAACUGUGAUACGUACCUGUCUAUGAUAAUAUACUGGACACACAACUGUGAUACGUACCUGUCUGUGAUAAUAUACUGGACACACAACUGUGAUACGUACCUGUCUGUGAUAAUAAACUGGACACACAACUGUGAUACGUACCUGUCUAUGAUAAUAUACUGGACACACAACUGUGAUACGUACCUGUCUGUGAUAAUAUACUGGACACACAACUGUGAUACGUACCUGUCUGUGAUAAUAUACUGGACACACAACUGUGAUACGUACCUGUCUGUGAUAAUGUACUGGACACACAACUGUGAUACGUACCUGUCUGUGAUAAUAAACUGGACACACAACUGGGAUACGUACCUGUCUGUGAUAAUAUACUGGACACACAACUGUGAUACGUACCUGUCUGUGGAUGAUGUAGUUACACUUGUUUGGUGUAAUUUGUUACACUUAAGUAACUGUUUGUGAUGAUAUUGUGAUUACUUAAGUAACUGUUUGUGAUGAUAUUGUGAUACUUAAGUAACUGUUUGUGAUGAUAUUGUGAUACUUAAGUAACUGUUUGUGAUGAUAUUGUGAUACUUAAGUAACUGUUUGUGAUGAUAUUGUAAUACUUAAGUAACUGUUUGUGAUGAUAUUGUAAUACUUAAGUAACUGUUUGUGAUGAUAUCGUGAUACUUAAGUAACUGUUUGUGAUGAUAUUGUAAACUUAAGUAACUGUUUGUGAGGAUAUUGUUACACUUAAGUAACUGUUAAGUAACUGUUUGGUGUGAUAUUGUUGCACUUAAUGAUCCGCUUUUCUGAGGAUUCAGUCACGUUGAGUCUCGUUCCGUUCUUGCAUAAAAAGCAUUUAUAAUAUGUAACUAACAAUUGGCAGUUUUAUAGCAAGGUUGUAUCUGAAAAAAGUGUCAACAUUUCAGACUUUUUAUGUGGAGGCCAUUUAGAAAAUGCAUUUUGGACAUGGCUCGAAUUUCACAUUUUUGGACUUAACUGUUUUCACUUAAACCAUCAUUGCGUUGGCAAUUUUGAAUGUUUCUAAUUCAUUUUUGCUUUAACACUUUACAAUGUUCAAUACAUGGAAAAUAAUACACAAUAAAGCGGGAAAUUAGCCAUUUUUAUUUGGUUUUCACUUAUUAUUAUAACUGGAGCACUUUAAAAUUUAUCCCGGAAAAGCUGAAAAAUAACAAAUUUUAGUUCUUAGUUCGGGCCAAAAAUUAAGCGCACUGACCCCUAUCACCUUUAAUUUGCAUUUGUUUGUAUAUAUUUUUAUUUUAACAUUUUUAUACAGCGAAACCCCCCCCCC